rnacentral:rRNA from 1 species
GUGCCAGCAGCCGCGGUAAUACGGAAGGUCCGGGCGUUAUCCGGAUUUAUUGGGUUUAAAGGGAGCGCAGGCUGCCUGUUAAGCGUGACGUGAAAUGCCGCGGCUCAACCGUGGAAGUGCGUCGCGAACUGGCGGGCUUGAGUGUGCACGAGGAAGGCGGAAUUCGUGGUGUAGCGGUGAAAUGCUUAGAUAUCACGAAGAACUCCGAUUGCGAAGGCAGCCUUCCAGGGCAUUACUGACGCUAAGGCUCGAAGGUGCGGGUAUCGAACAGGAUUAGAUACCCUGGUAGUCCGCACGGUAAACGAUGGAUGCCCGCUGUUGGCGAUAUACAGUCAGCGGCCAAGCGAAAGCGUUAAGCAUCCCACCUGGGGAGUACGCCGGCAACGGUGAAACUCAAAGGAAUUGACGGGGGCCCGCACAAGCGGAGGAACAUGUGGUUUAAUUCGAUGAUACGCGAGGAACCUUACCCGGGCUUGAACUGCAGCAGACGGAUCUAGAGAUAGUGACUCCCUUCGGGGCUGCUGUGGAGGUGCUGCAUGGUUGUCGUCAGCUCGUGCCGUGAGGUGUCGGCUUAAGUGCCAUAACGAGCGCAACCCUUUUCAUUAGUUGCCAUCAGGUCAUGCUGGGCACUCUGGUGAUACUGCCACCGUAAGGUGUGAGGAAGGUGGGGAUGACGUCAAAUCAGCACGGCCCUUACGUCCGGGGCUACACACGUGUUACAAUGGGUGGUACAGAGAGUCGGGUGUAUGCAAAUACAUUCUAAUCAAGAAAGCCAUCCUCAGUUCGGAUUGGGUCUGCAACCCGACCCCAUGAAGCUGGAUUCGCUAGUAAUCGCGCAUCAGCCAUGGCGCGGUGAAUACGUUCCCGGGCCUUGUACACACCGCCCGU